UACAGAGGGGGCAAGCGUUGUUCGGAAUUACUGGGCGUAAAGGGCGCGUAGGCGGCCUGUUAAGUCGAACGUGAAAUCCCCGGGCUCAACCCGGGAACUGCGUCCGAUACUGGCAGGCUUGAAUCCGGGAGAGGGAUGCGGAAUUCCAGGUGUAGCGGUGAAAUGCGCAGAUAUCAGGAAGAACACCAAUGGCGAAAGCAGCUCUCUGGGACGGUACUGACGCUGAGACGCGAAAGCGUGGGGAGCGAACAGG
rnacentral:rRNA from 1 species